rnacentral:rRNA from 1 species
GAUGAACGCUGGCGGCGUGCCUAAUACAUGCAAGUCGAGCGAACGGACGAGAAGCUUGCUUCUCUGAUGUUAGCGGCGGACGGGUGAGUAACACGUGGAUAACCUACCUAUAAGACUGGGAUACUUCGGGAAACCGGAGCUAAUACCGGAUAAUAUUUUGAACCGCAUGGUUCAAAAGUGAAAGACGGUCUUGCUGUCACUUAUAGAUGGAUCCGCGCUGCAUUAGCUAGUUGGUAAGGUAACGGCUUACCAAGGCAACGAUGCAUAGCCGACCUGAGAGGGUGAUCGGCCACACUGGAACUGAGACACGGUCCAGACUCCUACGGGAGGCAGCAGUAGGGAAUCUUCCGCAAUGGGCGAAAGCCUGACGGAGCAACGCCGCGUGAGUGAUGAAGGUCUUCGGAUCGUAAAACUCUGUUAUUAGGGAAGAACAUAUGUGUAAGUAACUGUGCACAUCUUGACGGUACCUAAUCAGAAAGCCACGGCUAACUACGUG